rnacentral:misc_RNA from 1 species
AAAGUCGUAACAAGGUUUCCGUAGGUGAACCUGCGGAAGGAUCAUUACCGUGCCUUCGGAGCGGCCCGGCCCCCCAAUCGGGGUCGGGUAUGCUCCGGAUUUGGCCCCACCCGUGCUUACUUGACCUUUGUUGCCUUGGCGGGCCCGCUGGCCUAGCCGGCCGCCGGGGGCUUCGUGCCCCGGGCCAGUGCCCGCCGAUGGACCCCACUGAACGCUUGUAUGGCUUGAUUGAUUGUCUGAGUUAAUUAAACAAAUAAGUAAAACUUUCAACAACGGAUCUCUUGGUUCCG